rnacentral:rRNA from 1 species
AUGUUGUUCUGCUUCGGCUUCUCUCACGGUUUCGCCGUCGGCCUCCCCAAACCGGUAGUAGAGCCGCUCACAUAUGCAGUUCCUCGACCCCGGGUGCUACUCGCGGCGGCUGCACUAGACGAUGCAUCGAACGCGGCCAUCCCCGUCGCAGCUCCAUUUCGUGCGGGAUCCAGCAGCCGCUCCCUCAUGCCUUUCCUAGGUCCUGGGUACGGUCAUCCUCGCGGCGGCGGCAUCAAACGCGGUAGGCAUUGCCAUCCCCGUCGCUGCAGCGGUUCGUGCGACAUCCAGCAUACGUAG